rnacentral:rRNA from 1 species
UGUAAGCGUAUACCAAAGUUGUUGCAGUUAAAACGCUCGUAGUCGGAAUUUGGCAGUUCCGGAUGUGUGCACGUCGUGUGCGCACUUCGCGGGGAUUGCUUUUGUGGUCUUGCGUAGGAUGAGGCACUUUUAUUAGUGAACGUCCUCACGCAACCACUUUUUACUGUGAGAAGAUCAGAGUGCUCAAAGCAGGCACUUGCCGUGAAUGUAUUAGCAUGGAAUAAUAGAAUAGGACUUGGUUCUAUUUUGUUGGUUUGUUGGGACUGAGUAAUGAUUAAGAGGGACAGUUGGGGGCAUUUGUAUUUCGGUGCUAGAGGUGAAAUUCUUAGAUUACCGAAAGACAAACUGCUGCGAAAGCGUCUGCCAAGGAUGUUUUCAUUGA